rnacentral:pre_miRNA from 1 species
AUCAUACUCCAUUCAUCUGAAAAUACUUAUCAGAGAAGUGGAUGUAUCUAAAUAUAUUUUAGUUUUAGAUGCAUCCAUUUCUUUGAUAUGUAUUUUCGAAUGGAGGGAGUAUAUG